rnacentral:lncRNA from 1 species
GGUCAAACUAACUUAUUAGGAAUGACUUAUAAGUAAUUUUUAAAUAACUUUAUUCUGUUUUAGUUCAUAAAAAAUAAUAAAUUUUUCUUCAUCUUUUAUGUUUUCUCUUAGAAUUGAUAGUAUUAUAAUUUAAUUUUAUAAUAUAUUUGGAAAAAAGGUAAAAGGAGAACUAGGAAUAGCUAGGGGUAUACCAUUACUAUUCUUCUUUUUAUGUUUUAUUUUUGGUUGAAAAAAAUAUGUUCAUG